rnacentral:rRNA from 1 species
CCUACGGGAGGCAGCAGUGAGGAAUAUUGGUCAAUGGGCGAGAGCCUGAACCAGCCAAGUCGCGUGAGGGAAGACGGUCCUAUGGAUUGUAAACCUCUUUUGUCGGGGAGCAAAAGACGCCACGCGUGGCGUUCCGAGAGUACCCGAAGAAAAAGCAUCGGCUAACUCCGUGCCAGCAGCCGCGGUAAUACGGAGGAUGCGAGCGUUAUCCGGAUUUAUUGGGUUUAAAGGGUGCGCAGGCGGAAGGUCACGUCAGCGGUAAAAUUGAGAGGCUCAACCUCGUCGAGCCGUUGAAACUGGUCUUCUUGAGUGAGUGAGAAGUAUGCGGAAUGCGUGGUGUAGCGGUGAAAUGCAUAGAUAUCACGCAGAACUCCGAUUGCGAAGGCAGCAUACCGGCGCUCAACUGACGCUCAUGCACGAAAGUGUGGGUAUCGAACAGGAUUAGAUACCCGGGUAGUC